CCUCAGUAACGGCGAGUGAAGUGGGAACAGCUCAAAUUUAAAAUCUGGCCGCAAGGUCCGAAUUGUAGUCUAAAGAGGUGCAAUCUGGUGGAAGCGCGUGUUCAAGUUGCCUGGAAUGGCACAUCACAGAGGGUGAGAAUCCCGUCUAGACGCGAGCGGAAGCCUGUACGAUGUACUCUCAAAGAGUCGAGUUGUUUGGGAAUGCAGCUCAAAAUGGGUGGUAAAUUUCAUCCAAGGCUAAAUACUGGCAAGAGACCGAUAGCGAACAAGUACCGUGAGGGAAAGAUGAAAAGCACCUUGAAAAGGGAGUUAAACAGCGCGUGAAAUUGUUAAAAGGGAAACGAUUGAAGCCAGCAUUGUGCUGGAGGCCUGUGGUUGUGAGCAGUGUCGUUGAGCGCAAGCCAACAAAGCUGGUAGCAGCUGCACGUUCCAGUGCGAGUCAGGGCCGCUUUGGUGUGCCUGAGAAGAGGUCGGGAAGGUAGUCAUCUCCGGAUGAUCUUAUAGCCCGACUGGAUCUGGUGUGCUAGAGCUGGGAUGAGCAUGAUAUGAGUCUGAUCAUGCUUUGUGUGGUGUGCUUUCUGCUUGCAGAGGUGUGCUUAUGCAGAGUAGGUGAUGGCAGAGUUAGUGCCGUACCUGACGCAAUGGUUUUAAACGACCCGUCUUGAAACACGGACCAAGGAGUCUAACAUGU
rnacentral:rRNA from 1 species